ACGGAGGGUGCAAGCGUUAAUCGGAAUUACUGGGCGUAAAGCGCGCGUAGGCGGUUUGAUCAGUUGGAUGUGAAAGCCCAGGGCUCAACCUUGGAACUGCAUUCAAUACUGUCAGGCUAGAGUACGGUAGAGGGAGGUAGAAUUCCAUGUGUAGCGGUGAAAUGCGUAGAGAUGUGGAGGAAUACCAGUGGCGAAGGCGGCCUCCUGGAUCGAUACUGACGCUGAGGUGCGAAAGCGUGGGGAGCAAACAGG
rnacentral:rRNA from 1 species